UGCCAGCAGCCAGAGGGGCAGGAGCUAGGAGAAAGGCGAUCGGCCAGGUACUCAGCACGAGAGCUUGGCUUUGUGGAGCAGCAUCUUGUUAAAGUCCUCAAUCCCGCAGUGGACUCAGAUGGGCCCAUCCUGUGCGUUAUCUGCAGAGAGUGGUUGAUCCGUUUCACAGCAGCAACCUUUCCCUUUCCCCCUUUCUCCUGCCCAGCUCGGUUUCACAACAUACCUGAGCCACCAG